GAAAUGCGAUAAGUAAUGUGAAUUGCAGAAUUCAGUGAAUCAUCGAAUCUUUGAACGCACAUUGCGCCCGUCAGCAUUCUGGCGGGCAUGCCUGUUCGAGCGUCAUUUCAACCCUCAGGACCCCCCUUUCGCGGGGAUGGACCUGGCGUUGGGGAUCGGCCCGCCCCCCGCGGCGGCGCCGUCCCCGAAAUCUAGUGGCGGUCUCGCUGCAGCCUCCCCUGCGUAGUAGUUACAACCUCGCAUCGGAGCGCGGCGCGGCCACGCCGUAAAACCCCCGACUUUCUGAACGUUGACCUCGGAUCAGGUAGGAAUACCCGCUGAACUUAAGC
rnacentral:misc_RNA from 1 species